GCUGGUCUUGAACUCCUGACCUCAAGCAAUCCACCCCCGUCCUUGGCCUCCCAAAGUGCUGAGAUGACAGGAGUGAGCCACUGCACCCGGUCCUCCUCCUUUACAGAUUUACAGAUAUGCUCAGAACUGACACACACAAGAAAUCAGAGGGGCUUGGAGAGAAUCCAGCCCCGGCACUGACACUGACGGAGAAGCUGAGGUAGAGACCCCGGUCCCAUAUGCAGAUUCCCCCAAACCGUUCAGCCACCACCCCACCAAUAAGCUGCACCAAACACUGACACCCCCCAUGGCUCCCAGAGUUCUGUUCAGCCAAUCAAUUAUGCUGAGGAGGGGGCCGGGUGUGGUGGCUCACACCUGUCAUCCCAGCACUUUGGGAGGCCG
rnacentral:lncRNA from 10 species